AUGUCGGCCGGAAUCGUUGCCGUGGGAGGAGCCUCGUGUGCGGCGGCGGUCAUCGGGGUCGGGGAAGAUGAUCCCGGCACGGAUGUCGUGGUGGCCGAGAGGCAGUGCCGAUGGGCACUCCGGUUCCACCUCGUCGGCGUGAACCACGUGCUGAGCGGGAGCAGCGCCGGGCGCUCGGGAGAUGGAGAUCGAUCGAGCCAUGACAGACAGCAGUAG
rnacentral:rRNA from 1 species